rnacentral:rRNA from 1 species
UACAGAGGGGGCAAGCGUUAUUCGGAAUUAUUGGGCGUAAAGGGCGCGUAGGCGGCCUGGCAAGUGGAAGGUGAAAUCCCUCGGCUUAACCGAGGAACUGCCUCCCAAACUGCUUGGCUUGAGACCGGGAGAGGUGAGUGGAAUUCCCAGUGUAGCGGUGAAAUGCGUAGAGAUCGGGAGGAACAUCAGUGGCGAAGGCGGCCUUCUGGACCAGUACUGACGCUGAGGCACGAAAGCGUGGGGAGCAAACAGGG